UGGGGAAUAUUGCACAAUGGGCGCAAGCCUGAUGCAGCCAUGCCGCGUGUAUGAAGAAGGCCUUCGGGUUGUAAAGCACUUUCAGCGGGGAGGAAGGCGUUAAGGUUAAUAACCUUGGCGAUUGACGUUACCCGCAGCAGAAGCACCGGCUAACUCCGUGCCAGCAGCCGCGGUAAUACGGAGGGUGCAAGCGUUAAUCGGAAUUACUGGGCGUAAAGCGCACGCAGGCGGUCUGUCAAGUCGGAUGUGAAAUCCCCGGGCUCAACCUGGGAACUGCAUUCGAAACUGGCAGGCUAGAGUAGUGUAGAGGGGGGUAGAAUUCCAGGUGUAGCGGUGAAAUGCGUAGAGAUCUGGAGGAAUACCGGUGGCGAAGGCGGCCCCCUGGACAAAGACUGACGCUCAGGUGCGAAAGCGUGGGGAGCAAACAGG
rnacentral:rRNA from 1 species